rnacentral:rRNA from 1 species
GCAGUAGCCACGGGAAUACAGAGGGUGCGAGCGUUAAUCGGAUUUACUGGGCGUAAAGCGUGCGUAGGCGGCUUCUUAAGUCGGAUGUGAAAUCCCUGAGCUUAACUUAGGAAUUGCAUUCGAUACUGGGAAGCUAGAGUAUGGGAGAGGAUGGUAGAAUUCCAGGUGUAGCGGUGAAAUGCGUAGAGAUCUGGAGGAAUACCGAUGGCGAAGGCAGCCAUCUGGCCUAAUACUGACGCUGAGGUACGAAAGCAUGGGGAGCAAACAGGAUUAGAUACCCCCGUAGUCCCUGUCUCUUAUAC